rnacentral:misc_RNA from 1 species
AAGUCGUAACAAGGUUUCCGUAGGUGAACCUUCGGAAGGAUCAUUACCGAGUGCCGGGCGCAAGCCCGUCUUCGCACACCCUCUGUCGACUCUCCGCAGUUGCUUCGGCGGCGGCGCCCUCGCGGGCCCCCGCCGGAGGACCAACCUAAACGCAUGGCAAACCGGUCUGUCCGAGGCUAUACGCGAAAUCAGUCAAAACUUUCAACAACGGAUCUCUUGGUUCGG